rnacentral:rRNA from 1 species
GACGAACGUUGGCGGCGUGCUUAACACAUGCAAGUCGAACGGAAAGGCCCUGCUUUUGUGGGGUGCUCGAGUGGCGAACGGGUGAGUAACACGUGAGUAACCUGCCCUUGACUUUGGGAUAACUUCAGGAAACUGGGGCUAAUACCGGAUAGGAGCUCCUGCUGCAUGGUGGGGGUUGGAAAGUUUCGGCGGUUGGGGAUGGACUCGCGGCUUAUCAGCUUGUUGGUGGGGUAGUGGCUUACCAAGGCUUUGACGGGUAGCCGGCCUGAGAGGGUGACCGGCCACAUUGGGACUGAGAUACGGCCCAGACUCCUACGGGAGGCGGCAGUGGGGAAUAUUGCACAAUGGGCGGAAGCCUGAUGCAGCAACGCCGCGUGCGGGAUGACGGCCUUCGGGUUGUAAACCGCUUUCGCCUGUGACGAAGCGUGAGUGACGGUAAUGGGUAAAGAAGCACCGGCUAACUACGUGCCAGCAGCCGCGGUGAUACGUAGGGUGCGAGCGUUGUCCGGAUUUAUUGGGCGUAAAGGGCUCGUAGGUGGUUGAUCGCGUCGGAAGUGUAAUCUUGGGGCUUAACCCUGAGCGUGCUUUCGAUACGGGUUGACUUGAGGAAGGUAGGGGAGAAUGGAAUUCCUGGUGGAGCGGUGGAAUGCGCAGAUAUCAGGAGGAACACCAGUGGCGAAGGCGGUUCUCUGGGCCUUUCCUGACGCUGAGGAGCGAAAGCGUGGGGAGCGAACAGGCUUAGAUACCCUGGUAGUCCACGCUGUAAACGGUGGGUACUAGGUGUGGGGUCCAUUCCACGGGUUCCGUGCCGUAGCUAACGCUUUAAGUACCCCGCCUGGGGAGUACGGCCGCAAGGCUAAAACUCAAAGGAAUUGACGGGGCCCCGCACAAGCGGCGGAGCAUGCGGAUUAAUUCGAUGCAACGCGUAGAACCUUACCUGGGUUUGACAUGGAUCGGGAGUGCUCAGAGAUGGGUGUGCCUCUUUUGGGGUCGGUUCACAGGUGGUGCAUGGCUGUCGUCAGCUCGUGUCGUGAGAUGUUGGGUUAAGUCCCGCAACGAGCGCAACCCUUGUUCACUGUUGCCAGCACGUUAUGGUGGGGACUCAGUGGAGACCGCCGGGGUCAACUCGGAGGAAGGUGGGGAUGACGUCAAGUCAUCAUGCCCCUUAUGUCCAGGGCUUCACGCACGCUACAAUGGCUGGUACAGAGAGUGGCGAGCCUGUGAGGGUGAGCGAAUCUCGGAAAGCCGGUCUCAGUUCGGAUUGGGGUCUGCAACUCGACCUCAUGAAGUCGGAGUCGCUAGUAAUCGCAGAUCAGCAACGCUGCGGUGAAUACGUUCCCGGG